rnacentral:rRNA from 1 species
AUUGAACGCUGGCGGCAGGCCUAACACAUGCAAGUCGAACGAGUGGCGGACGGGUGAGUAAUGUCUGGGAAACUGCCCGAUGGAGGGGGAUAACUACUGGAAACGGUAGCUAAUACCGCAUACCAUCGGAUGUGCCCAGAUGGGAUUAGCUAGUAGGUGGGGUAACGGCUCACCUAGGCGACGAUCGCUAGCUGGUCUGAGAGGAUGACCAGCCCAACUGGAACGGAGACAGGGGCCAGACUCGUACGAGAGGCAGCAGUGGGGAAUAUUGCAAAAUGGGCGCGAGCCUGAAGCAGCCAUGCCGCGUGUAUGAAGAAGGACUUCGGGUGGUAAAGUAAUUACAGCGAGGAGGCGUGAAUCGCAGAAGGAGCACCGGCUAAGUCCGUGCCAGCAGCCGCGGUAAUAC